rnacentral:rRNA from 1 species
UACGUAGGUGGCAAGCGUUGUCCGGAUUUAUUGGGUUUAAAGGGCGCGUAGGCGGCCAGCACAAGUCAGUUGUGAAAUCUCCGAGCUUAACUCGGAAAGGUCAACUGAUACUGUGCGGCUAGAGUGCGGAAGGGGCAACUGGAAUUCCUGGUGUAGCGGUGGAAUGCGCAGAUAUCAGGAGGAACACCGAUGGCGAAGGCAGGUCUCUGGGCCGCAACUGACGCUGAGGAGCGAAAGCAUGGGGAGCGAACAGG